rnacentral:rRNA from 1 species
ACGGGUGAGUAACGCGUAGGUAACCUGCCUGGUAGCGGGGGAUAACUAUUGGAAACGAUAGCUAAUACCGGAUAACAGUAUUUCUCGCAUGAGAGAUAUUUAAAAGUUGGUUAUGCUAACACUAUGAGAUGGCUUUGCGGUGCAUUAGCUAGUUGGUGGGGUAAAGGCCCACCAAGGCGACGAUGCAUAGCCGACCUGAGAGGGUGAUCGGCCACACUGGGACUGAGACACGGCCCAGACUCCUACGGGAGGCAGCAGUAGGGAAUCUUCCGCAAUGGGCGAAAGCCUGACGGAGCAACGCCGCGUGAGUGAAGAAGGAUUUCGGUUCGUAAAGCUCUGUUGUUAGGGAAGAAUGGAUAUGUAGUAACUAUACAUAUAAGAGACGGUACCUAACCAGAAAGCCACGGCUAACUACGUGCCAGCAGCCGCGGUAAUACGUAGGUGGCAAGCGUUGUCCGGAAUUAUUGGGCGUAAAGCGCGCGCAGGCGGAUAGGUCAGUCUGUCUUAAAAGUUCGGGGCUUAACCCCGUGAUGGGAUGGAAACUGCCAAUCUAGAGUAUCGGAGAGGAAAGUGGAAUUCCUAGUGUAGCGGUGAAAUGCGUAGAUAUUAGGAAGAACACCAGUGGCGAAGGCGACUUUCUGGACGAAAACUGACGCUGAGGCGCGAAAGCCAGGGGAGCGAACGGGAUUAGAUACCCCGGUAGUCCU